rnacentral:rRNA from 1 species
CGGCCACAUUGGGACUGAGAUGCGGCCCAGACUCCUACGGGAGGCAGCAGUAGGGAAUUUUGGGCAAUGGGCGAAAGCCUGACCCAGCAACGCCGCGUGAGGGAUGAAGGCCUUCGGGUUGUAAACCUCUGUUGAGUAGGAAAAAAAGGCAGCAAUGCCCUGAUGGUACUACUCGAGUAAGCACCGGCUAACUACGUGCCAGCAGCCGCGGUAAUACGUAGGGUGCAAGCGUUGUUCGGAAUUACUGGGCGUAAAGGGAGCGUAGGCGGAAUCGUAAGUUAGGAGUUUAAUACGUAGGCUUAACCUGCGGCUUGCUCUUAAGACUGCAAUUCUUGAGUAUGGGAGAGGGUGAUGGAAUUCCAGGUGUAGCGGUGGAAUGCGUAGAUAUCUGGAAGAACACCAGUAGCGAAGGCGGUCACCUGGCCUAAUACUGACGCUGAGGCUCGAAAGCUAGGGGAGC